rnacentral:rRNA from 1 species
GACAGAGGGUGCAAACGUUGCUCGGAAUUACUGGGCGUAAAGCGCGUGUAGGCGGUUCCGCAAGUCGGGUGUGAAAGCCCAGGGCUCAACCCUGGAAGUGCACUUGAUACUACGGAGCUUGAGUACGGAAGAGGAGAGCGGAAUUCCCGGUGUAGAGGUGAAAUGCGUAGAUAUCGGGAGGAACACCAGUGGCGAAGGCGGCUCUCUGGGCAGAUACUGACGCUGAGACGCGAAAGCAUGGGGAGCAAACAGG